GAUGAAGAACGUAGCGAAAUGCGAUAAGUAAUGCGAAUUGCAGAAUUCCGUGAGUCAUCGAAUCUUUGAACGCACAUUGCGCCCUUUGGCAUUCCGAAGGGCAUGCCUGUUCGAGCGUCAUUUAUCAACCCUCAAGCCCGGCUUGCGGUUGGGUCCCGCCGUGGGCGACCACGGCGGACCCGAAAGGUAAUGGCGGUGCCCUUGGGGCCCUGGACGCAGCGAGCUUCUCGGCACGCGUCCCGGCGGUCCCCGGCGCCGUCUCCACCAAUCCACCACGCAGAUUGACCUCGGAUCAGGUAGGGAUACCCGCUGAACUUAAGCAUAUCAAUAAGCGGAGGA
rnacentral:misc_RNA from 1 species